AACGUAGGAGGCAAGCGUUAUCCGGAGUUACUGGGCGUAAAGCGUAUGUAGGCGGUUGGGCAAGUGGCGUGUGAAAGCUCCCGGCUAAACUGGGAGAUGACAGGUCAGACUGCUCGACUCGAGUCCGAUAGAGGAGCGUAGAAUUCCGGGUGUAGCGGUGAAAUGUGUAGAGAUUCGGAGGAAUACCAGUGGCGCAAGCGGCGCUCUGGGUCGGGACUGACGCUGAGAUACGAAAGCGUGGGGAGCGAACGGG
rnacentral:rRNA from 1 species